rnacentral:lncRNA from 1 species
UGGAAAAUUCUUUCUGCGCGUCCUUCAGUAUUUUUAGCAUAACUUUCUCAUCCAAUGUCCAAUUGAGGUGAUUCAAAGCUCGUUAGAAAGCUAACUUAAAGGAGUACAAAGUUUCUUUAAAUAUUAUUCUCCGAUUCGAUCGUUUGCUAUGUCAAAAAUGAGUCUCAAUGUGAGGCUGAAAUUCCGGAGCACAACUUUUCGGUUGAAAAUUGAUUUGUGAUCAUAUUUUGACUAAAUUUGGUUCCUUUGACAUCUUUUUUAUCCAAUUGACUCCUAGCAUGCUUGGAUCUUCAUUGCGAGGUUCAACCAACUUUUUAAUAUUUGUGCUUUAGUCCCUGAACUUUGUAUCUCUUACAAUUUAGCAAUUUUCUCCAAUUUCGCCAACUUUUGCUUAUUUCUUUUAAUUUCAUCAACCUAAAUCACAACAUCAAAACACACAAUAAAAAACUCUAAAACACUCUCAAGAGUAACAAAAUAACAAAUUAUGUGGCAUAAAUAUUAUGAGUGUAAAGCACUCAUCAAAUAUCCCGAAAGUUAAUAUUUUGCUUGUCCUCGAGCAAACACCAAACUAAAGAAAAUCAUUAACAAAUACACAAGCACAAUUAAAAAAAAUAAAAUCACUUAAAAGACACAUUAUGUUAGACACCUUGCCUUUAUAGCUCAAGAUUAAAAACAUAGCGUCAAAUUCAUGAAUUACUUUAAAGCUAUAAUGCACAAGUCAAAUUCUCGCCUAUUUAAUGUGACCGGGUGUGUGUGUGGAGAGUUAAGCGCAACGCUGUACAAUAAUAAAUUGACCCAACUCCCGACCUUAAAAGUCAAAUGUUUUCUUGCCUCGCUCGUGGGAUUCACACACCCCAAACUUGUUUUCUUUUCUCUUCCCAAGGUAUAUUCUAAAAUUGAUUUUUCAAUACUAAUUUCUUAGACCGCUCAAGUUUGGUUAGAUUUCACUAUUGCAGUUCAACAUAUCAACAGAUAAGGAUUCUCCUUAUUUUUUACUACUUCAACCUCCCAGAAUCAACCAAGUUACUAACCUCUCAUCAAAGGUCUAAUCCUCUAAAACAAGUGUUUGGGGCUUAAUCAAGGUAUGUAAUAUCAAAUUUCUUUUCUUUAUUUUUUUUUCAAAUAUAAAUUUAUUCUUUAAACAUCCUUUGUAUGGACGUCACUCCCUUAAACUUUCUAAAUGACCCCUGUAGCGAGCUUUAGGUCGAUGACUCCCAAAUCAGACAACUUUAGGGCACCAGGUUUCAAAUUCUUACAGGCUUAAUCACUCGAAUCAUAAAGGUUACGAAGAGACGAUUCACAAUAAAAUUAUUAAAGUUGUCCUCAUUGAGAUCUUUUUUUUAUGCAAUGAUUAGUGCAAUGUCUCUUAUUAAACACCAAUUCUCGAAAAUCGACCUCUAACAUAAGGUUUUCACCCAAUUUUCAUCCUAUUAGUUUCAGACAAUCCACACAACAUUUAGCAUACACGGUAUCCACAUUUAUCCCCAAGUUUCCCUACAACAGCUUAAUCUACCAAACAUCCUAUAUUUGGUUUAAAGGUAAUAUGAUGUUCAAAAGUUGUUUGGGUUUAGCAUCUAAGUUCUCUAAUCCAACUUAUAAACAUGAAUCAACAUACUCAUGCACAACGCCACAAUCAACUCAUGUGCAAAAAUAAUUUCCGUUUUACAUAAAUAAGCAAAAAUCUAACUCAAGCACAUAACUUAUCCAUAACCCAUAAAUCAACGCAUGUUCUCAAUUACACAAAUCAAUAUCGGCAAGGCUAUCUAACUCACACAAGCAUGCAAAACACAAAAUUAUUUUUUUAACAGUGCACCCUAAUAAGAAAAUUAAAAAAAAAAUUGUACACAAAUCACACAAAAUACAGAAAAUAAAAAAAAUAUGUAGAUAAUUAGAAAAUUUAUGAUACACCCCCAAACUUAAACUAAACAUUGUCCCCAAUGUUAAAUUAAAAGAAAAGGAGGAAAACUUUCCUGAAUUGUCUGAAUUGCCAAUGAUGGUCUGGUGCUAUGAUACUGGACUUGAUUGAUACUUCUUCUAGUUUCUCCCCCAAACUUGACAUUUAUCUAGUUACUCUUCGUCAAUUGGUUUGAUUGUUCCACGAUGUCAAGUUUCUGAAAAUUCAAAAUGUAGAUAUUAAAUUCAUGAAACAAGUGUUACUUAACUCGAACAUCUAAUAACCAACUAGACUGCUCAAAGACCUAAGGGAGAUGAGGUAGGGCUGAUGAAUUCCUUAAAAAAAAAAAUUUGAAAUGAAAUAAACUCUCCUAUAAUUCAAAACAAAUAAAAUAAAAUAAAAUAAGUGAAAAGGCAAGAACGUUUGGGUUGCCUCCCAAGAAGCGUUUCUUUAUAGUCACUAGCUUGACUCAACCGCAACGCUUACGGUGGAUCCUUAGGUGGCACAUUUCUCUUGUUUCUGAACUUUAUCUUCGGCUUUGUAUUCUCCUUCAUUGUAAGAUGGUGAACAAACUUAGGCUGUUUUGACCCUGGUAUGGCUUUCAAGACCUCUUUUGGUUUGGUAAUGUUUGGAGGUUUCAAACGCCUAUAUACAUAGCUCUUUUUUUUGUCAGGUAGGUCAGCUUCUUGAGCUAAGAUGAAAUCCACUGCUUUCUUCAUUUCUGAGUCAUUACCAUCAGUAGAUACAUCCCUUGUUGAGUAAUUAAUUUCCAUGUAUUGCACCAACGGAUCAUAAAAUAAUUCCCUUUUUUCUCCAUUUCCUGCAAUUACUUCAACUGAUUGGAUCAUUUUGCAAAUGUCAACUUUUCCUUUUUCUUGGGCUUUCUUUUCUUGAUGGAUGUUGAAAGUUACUUGCUCUUCAUUAACUCAUAGUUUCAACUUUCCUUCUUGCACAUCAAUCAAUGCUUUUCCAGUAGCCAGGAAAUGUCGGCCAAGAAUCAAUGGUAUUUUCUCAUCCUCUUCCAUGUCCAAUACCACAAAGUCUACCGGAAAGAUGAACUUAUCAACCUUCACCAACACAUCUUCAAUAAUGCCUUUGGGAUAUGUGAUCGAUCUGUCCGCCAGUUGCAAGGUAAGGGUUGUGGGAUUCACUUUUCCAGACCCAGUUUUUUGAACACUGAUAAAGGCAUCAAGUUUAUACUAGCUCCAAGGUCAUAUAGUGCCCUAUCAAAUGUGAUACCACCAAUAUUGCACGGGAUGUUGAAGCGGCCCGGAUCUUUCAAUUUGUGAGGGAGCUUCUUCUGAAGUAUGGUGAUAAGUGUGUUUUUACACACUUAUUUAACUCACAAACAUGACUUAAACAUGAACAAAGUAGUUGAAUUGUGGCUUAAUCUUUUUAAAUUUAUGCAAUGUAGGUGUUUCCACGGAAAAGAUGGAAUUUAGAAGAAAAGAGCCGAAAAGGGACCAAAACGAAACAAAGCUAUAGUUCGGGGACCAAGUUGCAAAUAAUCCAUAGAUGAGACGGGAAAUGGAAUGAAGAUUCAAGAGUGUUAGAGGUCAAUCGGAUGAGGAAAGGAGUCAAGAGGUGAAAUAUGGUCGAAGUAUUAUCAAGCAUCAACUUUCAGGCAAAAAAGUUAUGCUCGUGAUUUUGAGUCUCUACUUGAGAUCCAUUUUUGGCAUAGUAAACAUCAGAAUUUGAGGAAGCCUAUUUCUAUCAAAAAUGUACUUCUUUAAGUUUUCUUCCCAAUUCACUUUGAAUCACUUCAAUCGGAGAUUGGGAGAGAAAGUAAUGACCAAAAUACUGAAAGCUGUCCGACGGAAAAAUUUCUAUAACCAUGCAGCGGUCGCACAUGAUAUAACAGAGAUCUUUUUGGGCUGAAAAAUUUAACCAUGCGGCCGCAUGGCCUUAAUUUCGAAAAAAAAUCUGAACUUUCAUUUUUAAUUGAAACUCUUUCGAGGCUCCGAGAGGACAUGAUAUAAAAGCCAAAAUUCAUCAAAAAUAAGGCAGAAUGUCCAGGGAGAAGAAGAAUACAACUUUUGGAGGCAAGGAACAUGAACUUGAAGCCGAUUUCACAAGGAUUCAAGUAGGUUUUCAAGGUUUUGUUCAAGAUUUCAAAUUUCAAGAACUUUCAUACGAGUGUUAUUCUUUCUAUUUAUUAAUUUCGUUUUUUUUCUGUAAUUAUGAAUCUUCUAGGUUAGGUUUUCAAUUACUAGGUAAUUGAUGAACCGUUGUUUGUUAUUUUAAUUCUAUAUUUCAUGAAUUUAAUAUAAAGACUCGUUUGGAUAAUUUGAUUGAUUUACAUGCAUUAGUUUUCUUCCGCAAUUAGUGGCCAAUGAUUGUGGGAGUGUUGAUGACUUAUUUCUUACAUUCGAGAGAAGUGGAAUAGGUUCGAUAAGGUGUAAAUUAGCAUAAGGUUCGAUAGAGGAUAGAGAUAUACCCCUAUACUUUAUACAAUUCUUAAAUUGUUCACAAAACUACAUGCAUUCUUGUAUGUUUCCAUCAUCCAUAGAGAUAUAGGCUGGUGGUGUGCAAGAAUAGGUCUAAUAUAUAUCGAGAGAGUAUAUUAGAUAGAAUUAGGAACAUUGAAUUGGCAAAUUUUCAUCGAAUCAUUAAUUUUAUGAAAUUAGGGUUUUUAUAACUUCAAUUGGGGAUUCGUGAUCCUAGUGACUUUAGUUUGAUUAAUUUCCAUAAAUUAGCUUUUGAAAUUGCAUAAUUUCAUUUACUUGAGUGUUUGAGUCAUUUAAUUAGAGAAAUUUCAAAAUUAGGGUUUCUAAUUGAGAAAUUAGGAUUUUUUAGUUGAAAUUAGGGUUUCUUAAUUGAAAUUAGGGCUUUUGCAUUUAGACCAUAUUUUCACUCAAUUAGAUUCGGUUAAGGCUAGAUUAUAUAGAAUUGAACUACUCAAUCUCUGAGGGAUAAUAUUCGGACUUUUUAAAAUCCACUUUAUUACUUAUUACGAACUGUACACUUGCGAUAGUUUUAAAUCGAAAGAAUUAUUUCGUGAACAUAUGGCACUACACUCCUCUGUCAGUUUAACAGUCUCAAAUUCCUCCAACUUUCUCUUCUUUGACAUCACUUCCUCUAAGAACUUGGCAUAGUUAGGCAUUUGGGCCAAAGUUUCUACAAAGGGAAUGUUGAUGUGGAUUUUCUUAAAGACCUCCAGAAACUUUGCGAAUUUUUCAUCAAACUCCUUCUUCAAAUACCUCUGCAGGAAUGGUAGUGGGGGCUUCAAGAUAGGUGGGUUGUCCAGAAAUGAAAUUGAGUAAGGCUUAUAAAUCUUCUUUGUUGCCUCUGCCUCAGUUUUCUGCCCUCCAAUCUGCUUUUCCCUUGCAAGAAUGGGAUCUUUUCCCUUGCAAGAAUGGGAUCCGAUAUAGGUACCCCAAUCUCUCUAAGGUUGCGUUCUUCAACUAGUUUACCACUUCUUAGGGUGAUAGCAUUGCAGUGUUCCCGUGGGUUAACCUCUGUGUCACUGGAAAAUUGUCCUUUUUGUUGAGACUGUAUUGCAGUUGCUAUCUAACCAAUCUGUACCUCCAAAUUCUUCACUGUAGCCCCCAAGUUGCUCGUAUAUGUCUCAAUGCUGUCAAGUCUUGCCUCAUCUUUGUUGAACCUCGAUCUGGUCUCCAAAAUGAAGGUUCCUAAAAUAUCUUCCAGUGAUGGUAUUCGCUCAAACGCUUGAUUAUUGAACCCUUGAUAGUAGUUGUUUCCUGAGUAGUUUCCCUUUUGAUUGAAAUUUCGAUCGUUCACAUACUGAAGUUGUUCUUUCUCCCUUUCAACUUUUUGGUAUGCAGUGGAUGUAGCCAUAAUAGAUUCUGAUUUCUUUUGUGAUCCAUCUAAAGUCAAUGCAGCUAUUUGAUUAGUGAGAGAUGACAUUUGAGCUACAAGGGCGAUUAUAGGAUCUACUUCAUAAAGGCCAGCAACUUUCUUUGCACUUGGACGCUCACUCAGCCAUUGAUAGCUAUUAGUAGCUAUCUCAUCCAAUAGUGCAUAGGCCUUAUUUGGAGUUUUGGAUAAUAGUCCACCCCCUGCUGCAGAAUCUACCACUAUCCGUGUCUGACCAUUCAAACCGUUGUAGAAGGUUUGUAUCUGCAACCAAUCCGGGUAACCAUGCUGAGGACAUCUUGUAAAUAGAUUUUUAUAUCUCUCCCUUGCCUCAUAGAAUGGUUCAAAGUCUAAUUGUCGAAAAUGUCCAAUUUCACUCCGUAAUUGCGCUGCCUUCGAAGGUGGAAAGAAUUUUGUAAGAAACUUCUGCGCUAACCCCUCCCAAGUUGUGAUGGAUCCAUACGGCAAUGAUUGGAACCAUGCCUUGGCUUUGUCUCUUAGGGAAAAGGAAAAUAGGCGGAGUCGGAUUGCAUCUUCGGUAACGCCAUUCAUUUUCACUGUAUCAUAGAUCUCCAGAAAGGACCCCAAAUGAGCAUUUAGGUAUUCUGUUGGAGCUCCCCCAAACUGAUUCUGUUGCACCAUGUGUAUAAGUCCUGGCUUCAGUUCGAAAUUGUUUGUAGCAAUUGCUGGGUGUGCGAUGCCAGAAUAGUUGUCAUUGACAGCCGGCCUUAUGUAGUCCUGAAUAGCCCUUUGUUGGUUAUCCUCAUUGGCUGCUCUAGCAUCCUGUUCUGCCAUUGCUUUCCGUUCCUUUUUUUGUAUGCCUCUGAGAAUGCAAAAUGUGCGUUCUGGUUCAGGAUCAACAGGUAGUAGAUCUAGAUUUCUCGCCCUUCGCAUAAACAGCUGAAAAUUACCAUAAGGAAGCCCUUAAAGAUAGACACGAAAAGAAUAAAAUAAAAAUAAAAAUUACAAUAGAAAUAAAAAUCUAAAGUAAAAUCACAGCUAAUUGGUAAUAAUAUCAAUUGAAUUCAAAUAAAUCAAUCCCCGACAACGGCGCCAAAAACUUGCCACGUAAUUUAUGCAACAUGAUUUUUAAACCGCAAGUGUACGGUGUCAAGUUUUGUAAUAUAGUAAAGAAGUUAGGAUGUCGAACCCACAAUGAUUGAUAUUCGAAUCAAUUGAGUACUAUAAUUAUUUUAGCUUUCCCUUUAUUUAGAUGAUCAAAUUUUGAGUCAAUGUUUUUAUGCUAAAUUAAAAUUAAAUAGGAUGAACGAUGCAAGUAAACAAGGGCAAAUUAUGAAAUUUCUUAUCAAAUUAUGAACGCUUGUGGAAUGAUUUCAUUGUACAUUCGACAAUAUUUUUCAACCGUAUAACUAUUUCUAUCAAUCUCUCCAAAAUUCAUAGGCAAGAACGCUAAAGUAAUUCUAUUUCCCUCUCUCGAGCGCCAAAUAAAAUCUAUUUUUAUAUAUUAAUUUCAAUAUCUCUAUUCUGAAUUAAAAAUAUAAAAAUUAUCAAGCACGUGGUUCUUAAUUAAAACAAGUCUCAAAGAUUCGCACUUUCUCUUGAAACCUACGAAAUCUAGGUUAUGUUGUCUUAGAUCACGCCUAAAUUUGCCUCUCUCGAGCGCCAAAAUUUAGAACAUCAAAUCAAUCAAUUAGUGGCCAGUUAAUUGAAAGCAUUGCGCACAAACAACAUAAAUAAAUAAAAAGGAAAGAUCAAUUGAAAUAAUUAUAACGGAAUCCAAACAUGUCUCAAAUAGGCUACAUCAUCCCUAGAAUAAUUGUUUAGUUCAUAAUUGAGAAAAUUGACAUGAAUAAAUUAAUAAGAAAGAACAUAGAGAAGAAAAGGAAUAGAAAAACUCGUUUUUGCCACUCAAUUUCUUCUUCCAUUGUUGCCAAAUUCUUUCAAUUAACUUCCUCUUCUUUAAUUGUAUUGACCAGCCGUGGGUUUGUCUCCAGAUUUUUGCAAUUAUCCGGCUAAACUCCUCUUUCCAGUCACGUGUUCUUGCCAGUUGCUUCAAGUUUUCCUUGCUCAUUCCCCCCCCUCUUAAUUAGGUCUUUUAGGUAGUAUUUAUAGUCUCCUCAAGUGUUGGACGAUUUUGGGUUGGAAUGGGCCGAGAAAGAAAUCCAAAAAUAUCAAAAUAUGUUUCCCCACAGAGUCAAAUUCAGCUUCAUGGGCGCUGCGGCGCCCGGUUCGGGUGAAAAAUUCUUUCUACGCGUCUUUCAGUAUUUUUAGUAUAACUUUCUCGUCCGAUGUCCAAUUGAGGUGAUUCAAAGCUCGUUAGAAAGCUAACUUAAAGGGGUAUAAAUUUUCUUCAGAUAUUAUUCUCCGCUUCGAUCGUUUGCUAUGUCAAAAAUGAGUCUCGAUGUGAGGCUAAAAUUCCUGAGCACAACUUUUCGAUUGAAAAUUGAUUUGUGAUCAUAUUUUGACUAAAUUUGAUCCAUUUGACAUCUUUUUUCCAUCCAAUUGACUCCUA